GACGAACGCUGGCGGCGUGCUUAACACAUGCAAGUCGAACGGCAAGGCCCUGCUUUGGUGGUGGGCUCGAGUGGCGAACGGGUGAGUAACACGUGAGUAACCUGCCCUUGACUUUGGGAUAACUUCAGGAAACUGGGGCUAAUACCGGAUAGGAGCUCCUGCUGCAUGGUGGGGGUUGGAAAGUUUCGGCGGUUGGGGAUGGACUCGCGGCUUAUCAGCUUGUUGGUGGGGUAGUGGCUUACCAAGGCUUUGACGGGUAGCCGGCCUGAGAGGGUGACCGGCCACCUUGGGACUGCGAUACGGCCCAGACUCCUACGUGAGGCAGCAGUGGGGAAUAUUGCACAAUGGGCGGACGCCUGAUGCAGCAACGCCGCGUGCGGGAUGACGGCCUUCGGGUUGUAAACCGCUUUCGCCUGUGACGAAGCGUGAGUGACGGUACUGGGUAAAGAAGCACCGGCUAACUACGUG
rnacentral:rRNA from 1 species